rnacentral:rRNA from 1 species
UACGGAGGGUGCAAGCGUUAUCCGGAUUCACUGGGUUUAAAGGGUGCGUAGGUGGGUUUGUAAGUCAGUGGUGAAAUCUCCAAGCUUAACUUGGAAACUGCCGUUGAUACUAUAAAUCUUGAAUGUUGUGGAGGUGAGCGGAAUAUGUCAUGUAGCGGUGAAAUGCUUAGAUAUGACAUAGAACACCAAUUGCGAAGGCAGCUCACUACACAAAGAUUGACACUGAGGCACGAAAGCGUGGGGUUCAAACAGG